GGUUUUAUAGUCAAUAAUGAUGUUAGAUUGCAAUUCUAAAGGAAUAAUUUAAAAGUUAUUAAAACUU
rnacentral:tRNA from 1 species